rnacentral:rRNA from 1 species
AACGAACGCUGGCGGCAUGCCUAACACAUGCAAGUCGAACGAGACCUUCGGGUGUGGUGGCGCACGGGGGCGUAACGCGGGGGAACCUGCCCUUAGGUUCGGAAUAACUCCCCGAAAGGGGUGCUAAUACCGGAUAAUGUCUUCGGACACAAGAUUUAUCGCCUUUGGAUGGGCCCGCGUUGGCUUAGCUUGGUGGUAGGGUAAAAGCCUACCAAGGCGACGAUCCAUAGCGGGGCUGAGAGGAUGAUCAGCCACACUGGGACGGGGCCACGGUGCAGAAUACUACGGGAGGCAGCCGUGGGUAAUCUUGGCCUAUCGGCGAAAGCCUGAUCCAGCUAUGGCGCGUGAGUGCUGAUGGCCUUAGGGUUGUACAGCUCUUUUACCCGGGAUGAUAAUGACAGUACCGGGAGAAUAAGCUCCGGCUAACUUCGUG